UGCCAGCCGCCGCGGUAAGACGGGAGAUGCAAGCGUUAUUCGGAUUUAUUGGGCGUAAAGGGUCUGUAGGUUGUUGGUUAAGUCUAUGGUCAAAUUCCGAAGCUCAACUUCGGGCCGGCACUAGAAACUAAUCAACUUGAGUACGUUAGAGGCAGGGGUAGAGGGAAUUUCUAGUGUAGCGGUGAAAUGCGUAGAUAUUAGAAAGAACACCGGUGGCGAAAGCGCUCUACUGGACCAUUACUGACACUCAGAGGCGAAAGCUAGGGUAGCAAAAGGGAUUAGAUA
rnacentral:rRNA from 1 species